rnacentral:rRNA from 1 species
AGCAGCCGCGGUAAUUCCAGCUCCAAUAGCGUAUAUUAAAGUUGUUGCAGUUAAAAAGCUCGUAGUUGAAUUUCGGGAUCAAUAUUUCGGUCAUGCCGUUGGUAUGCACUGUUAUCAUUGAUUUCUCACCUUCUAAAGAACCGUAAUGCCAUUAAUUUGGUGUUACGGGGAAUUAGGACUGUUACCUUGAAAAAUUAGAGUGUUUAAAGCAGGCUCACGCUUGAAUACAUUAGCAUGGAAUAAUGAAAUAGGACAUCCGAUUCUAUUUUGUUGGUUUCUAGGAUCGAUGUAAUGAUUAAUAGGGAUAGUUGGGGCAUUAGUAUUCAAUUGUCAGAGGUGAAAUUCUUGG